UUCCAACACUAAUUUGGAGGUGAUGAAGAUGGGAGACAACAAGAUAAAGACGGAAGAAAGUAGCCGCCUUCUUGUUCUAAAUCCGAUUGUGAUAAUUGGGUAUGGGUUUCUUGCAUAUGUUAUGUGGCCUGACAUUAAAGAACAGAUAAAUAUCACGAGGAAUUCUGGGAUUGAGUCCUAUGCUGUUGUUAUUACCUCUUUAUUUUCCGUUGUCAUGGUCGUAAUGCUCUGUUUUAUUGAUGUACUCAAGCGACUCAUGAAAUAGUUUUGUGGCUGGCUUGCUAUUAAUUAUAUGUUAGUAAAAGAAAGAUGAUCUCUUUGAUUGUCUCGGCUGGCUACAAAAAUAGCCUUUCGUUUUUGACCUUUCAUUGUUUAUACUGUCAAUUUUAACUGUUUUUGACUUUGAGACAGCCCAACGAGAGAAGAGAGAGGAGC
rnacentral:misc_RNA from 1 species